rnacentral:tRNA from 1 species
UCGUGUCCUUGACGACGUUCAAGCGCGACGGCGAUGCGGUCGCCGCGCCGAUGUGGAUCGUCGGCGACGGCGCGGGGCUGUCGGCGUGGAC